GACGAACGCUGGCGGCGUGCUUAACACAUGCAAGUCGAACGAUGACCCAGGGCUUGCCCUGGUGAUCAGUGGCGAACGGGUGAGUAACACGUGGGCAACCUGCCCUGACUUCGGGAUAACUCCUCGAAAGAGGAGCUAAUACCGGAUACGACCACUUCGGACAUCCGAUGGUGGUGGAAAGUUUUUCGGUCAGGGAUGGGCCCGCGGCCUAUCAGCUAGUUGGUGGGGUAAUGGCCUACCAAGGCGACGACGGGUAGCCGGCCUGAGAGGGCGACCGGCCACACUGGGACUGAGACACGGCCCAGACUCCUACGGGAGGCAGCAGUGGGGAAUAUUGCGCAAUGGGCGAAAGCCUGACGCAGCGACGCCGCGUGAGGGAUGAAGGCCUUCGGGUUGUAAACCUCUUUCAGCAGGACGAAGCGAAAGUGACGGUACCUGCAGAAGAAGCACCGGCUAACUACGUAGCCAGCAGCCGCGGUAAU
rnacentral:rRNA from 1 species